rnacentral:rRNA from 1 species
AGAACGAACGCUGGCGGCAUGCCUAAUACAUGCAAGUCGAACGAACUCUUCGGAGUUAGUGGCGCACGGGUGCGUAACGCGUGGGAAUCUGCCCCUUGGUUCGGAAUAACAGUUGGAAACGACUGCUAAUACCGGAUGAUGACGAAAGUCCAAAGAUUUAUCGCCAAGGGAUGAGCCCGCGUAGGAUUAGCUAGUUGGUGAGGUAAAGGCUCACCAAGGCAACGAUCCUUAGCUGGUCUGAGAGGAUGAUCAGCCACACUGGGACUGAGACACGGCCCAGACUCCUACGGGAGGCGGCAGUAGGGAAUAUUGGACAAUGGGCGAAAGCCUGAUCCAGCAAUGCCGCGUGAGUGAUGAAGGCCUUAGGUGUAAAGCUCUUUACCCGAGAUGAUAAUGACAGUAUCGGAGAAUAAGCCCGCUAACUCCGUGCCAGCAGCCGC